rnacentral:lncRNA from 1 species
GAGAAACCCACAGGUAUAAGAGAAAGAGAAAGAGAAAGAGAAAGAGAAAGAAGAUAGUAAUCUUUUAUCAUUCAAGCAUAAGCUAGGAAGAAGAAGAAGCAAGAGCAACCAAGAGGUAAAAUCUUAACUUCAUCCAUCUUAUUUUCUAAGUUUUAAUUUAGUUUUGUUGGUUGGUUGUUGUUUAAUGAACGAUCAUAGAUGGAUGAUGGAUUGAUAAGGUUAUGUGUGGUUUGAUAAUGUUAAAUCACUUAUUAAUAUGCAUAUAAAGUGGUAACGAAAAAUGAAAUCGUAGGCCAAAGCGUAAAGGAUGGAAGUUAUUUGUUUAGAGGACUUAAAUUGGACCUUAAUAAUUGUUGAUUGUGUUGGGUUAAAUGAAAUCCGGGAAGAAGGAUUUAUAGAUAAAAGGGUUACGUAGAAGUUCCAAUUGGAACGAAGAAAAAAGAAGCUAAAAUGAAUUUAUGGUGAACUUUUUAGUAAAACAUGUUGAAAACUUAAAAUUAGUGUACUGCUGACCUUAAGAACAAUUUCGGGGCUAGUUUAACUUUCCAAAAAUUUUUGGUUUUCUGGGGGAGUAUAGUACACUCAAUAAGGAAUUCAUAGUCUUCGGAAAGGACUCAUUCCAAGUUCGGACAACCGAGUUAUGACGUUUCCUUAUAGCCUUUGGAAAUGACUCAUUCCAAGUUCGGACAACCGAGUUAUGACGUUCCAAAGUAAACACAUCAAAACUGUCCAAUCUGGAAAAUCAGAUUCGCACAUGUUGUUUGUAUGAAUUUUCUAGACUUGUGUGUUCCGAAUUUGAAAAGGGUUAAAGCAUAAGAGUUUUAGCCCCAGAAUUUAGCUCCGCGUGGGCGCAAGAAUCACUAAAAAUAUUUUGAAACGAAUUAGUUAUGAAUUUUCUAGCGAUAGAGGGUAAAGCUGGCCAGAUUUUGUAGCAAUCUGACCUUGGUUGUAAGAAGUAAAAAUCUGUUUUGAUUGAAGGAGGGCCUUGAACGAGGGCCUAGAAUAGAGUAAAUUACAAUGUAUAAUUUUUAAUUUGAUGUAAGAAUGAACGAAAAUGGAUAAGUAAUGAAGGAAAUACGAUAAAAACAAGAAAGCUUUCCUAGAAACCUUAAAGAAACGAAAAAAAUUAUUUUUCGAAAAAACGGUGACUGAAAUUUGAGCAAGCAUAACACCCAACCUAUUUCGAAUUUAGGGUGGUCAACUUCUAGAGUUAGAUAUAUGAGUCCCCUAACACCUCCAAUUGGAAUUUUCGAAAUAUCCCUUGUAGAUUUUCGUGUGGACAGUUUCUAUCAAAUCAGGACAGAAAUAGAAAACCAAAAAAGCUUGUUGCCCUAAAUUUUCCUGGACAGUUGCGUCCACUUAAAACAUUGAAAUAAAUUCAGGCCUUUUGGGACAUGAAACUAUAUGGUAUAAUGAAGUUCUGGUCCAAAGAUGAACGAAUUCUGAAAUCAAAUGAAGGAGAUAUGGCCAAUUCAAUAUUAGGAUUUUUUGACGAAAAUUGUCAUAAUUUGAGUUCUACAACUCCAAUAACCACAAAAUUUAAACUGAAAGUUCAUGUUAAUAGGUGUAAGAUUCUACCAAGACUUGAGAAUUUUUGGAGUUGAGCACGAUAUAGUUAAUUUUGCUAAGUUACGAACUAAAAUGGCUCUUUGAAAAAUACUUAAAAAAAUUGACAAAUUGCAAUAAAAUUAUUUUGUAUGUGGUACAUAUGUAGGUAUGUGUGGCUAGAAGAGAAAAAAAAAAUAAUAAAAUGGUUAAGGAGGCCUAAUGAAGAAAAUAGAGUUACAUGGAUGUAAAAUAAUUACUUACCGACAUGUCGAAAAUUAUCAAAAUAAUCUAUAUUGGUUAUAAUAUGUCGACAUGUGAUGUAUGAGUCUAUGUAAAGUUUAAUCACAUAUUUUUAUGAGAAUUUUAUAAAAAUAAUGUGAGGGGACUUUUUUGUUGGUUUAAGCCGAAAGGCUAAUUGUCAGAAUAAGUUACGAUAAUUACCGUCGAUAAUUAUUAUGAGGUGAUGACUAAUUUAAUCAAAUAAAUUGUCAUGGAUAAGGUUAUCAUUUGAAGGAAGUUAUGAUUGUGGAUGAAGUAGAUGGUAAAACGUCGAUACAGGCAAGAUUUUCAGAACUUGUUAUUAUGUGCAAACUUUUUAAUUGUUAUGUGAAAGUAUUUCAUGUAUUGCGUAUUUCGUGUGAACGAGUUGAAAUGUGCACUAAGUGCUUUACUGUGAGAUAAUCAUGAAAUCUAAACUUCAUUCAUCUUCUUUUCUUAUUUUUAUUUUAGUUUUGUUGGUCAGUUGUUGUUUAAUGAAGGAUCAUAGAAGGUUCAUUGAGUGAUAAGGUUAUGUGUGGUUUGAUCAUGUUAAAUCAAUUGUUAAUAUGAAUAAAAAGUGGUAAAAAAAUGAAAUCGAGGCCAAAGCGUAGAGGAUGGACGUUAUUUGUAUAGAGGACUUAAAUUGGACCUUAAUAAUUGUUGAUUGUAUGAAAUUCAGGAAGAAGGAUUUAUAGAUAAAAGGGUUACGUAAUAGUUCCAAUUGGAACGAAGCAAAAAGAAACUAAAAUGAAUUUAUGGUGAAUGUUUUAGUAAAACAUGUUAAAACAUAAAACUAGUGGACUGCUGACCUUAAGGACAAUUUCGGGGCUAGUUUAAUUUUCCAGAAAAUUCUGGUUUUCUGGGAGAGUAUAGUACAUUGAAUAAGGAAUCCAUAGCCUCCGGAACGGACUCAUUCCGAGUUCGGACGACCGAGUAUGAUAAAUUAGAUUCGCACCAGCUGUUUGUAUGAUAUUUCUGGACUUGUGUGUUACGAAUUUGAAAAGGGUUAAAGCAUAAAAGUUGUAUCCCCAGAAUUUAUUUUCGCGUGGGCACAAGAAUCGCUCAAAAUAUUUUGAAACGAAUUAGUUAUGACUUUUCUAGCGAGAGAGGGUAAAACUAGCCAGAUUUUAUAGCAAUCUGACCUUGGUUGUAAGAAGUAAAAUUCUGUUUUGAUUGAAGGAGGACCUUGAACUAGGGCCUAUAUGAGAGUAAAGUACAUUGUAUAAGCUUUAAUUUGACAUAAGAAUGAACGAAAAUGGACAAGUAACGAAGGAAAUAUAUAUGAUAAAAACAAGAAAGCUUUCCAAGAAAUCUUAAGAAUCGGAAAAACUAUUUUUCGAGUAAACGGAGACUUCAAUUUGAGAAAUCAUAAAUCCCAACCUAUUUUGAAUUUGGGAGUAUGGUCAACUUCCAGAGUUAGAUAUAUGAGUCCUCUAACACCUCCAAUUGAAAUUUCCAAAAUAUCCCUUGUCGAUUUUCGUGUGGACAAUUUUUACCAAAUCAGGCCAAAACUGAAAAAGCUUGCUGCAUUAAAUUUUUGUGGACUGUUUGUUCCACUUAAAAUAUUGAAAUAAAUUCAUUUCUUUUUGGGACAUGAAACUAUAUGGUAUAAUGAAGUUCUUGUCCAAAGACGAACGAAUUUUGACAUCGGAGGAAGGAGAUAUGGCCAAUUCAAUAUUAAGAUUUAUCUAACGAAAACUGUCUUAACUUGAGUUCUACAACUCCGAUAGCUAUAAAAUUUAAACUGAAAGUUCAUGUUAAUAUGUAUAAGUAUAAGAUUCUGCCAAGACUUGGGAAUUUUUAGAGUUGAGCAUAAUAUAGUUAAUUUUGUUAAGUUACGAACUAAAAUGGCUCUUUGAAAAAUACUUAAUAAAAUUGACAAAUUGUAAUAAAAUUAUUUUUGUGUGUGGAACAUAUGUAGUUAUGUGUGGUCAGAAGAGAAAAAAUUAAUAAAAAUGUUAAGGAGGCCUAAUGAAGAAAAUAGAGCUACUCGAGUUACAAGUAAGUAAAAUAAUUACUUACCGACAGGUUGAGAAUUAUCAAAAUAAUUUAUAUCGGCUAGAAUAUGUCGACAUGUGACGUAUGAGUUUAUGUAAUGUUUAAUCACAUAUUUUUAUGAGAAUCUUAUAAAAAUAAUAUGAGGGGACAUUUAUGUUGGUUUAAGUCGAAAGGUUAAUUGUCAGAAUAAGUUACGAUAAUUACCGUCAAUAAUUAUUAUGAGGUGAUGAUUAAUUUAAUCAAAUAAAUUGUCAUGAAUAAUGUAGGUUAUCAUUUGAAGGAAGUUAUGAUUGUGGAUGAAGUAGAUGGUAAAAUGCCGGUACAGACAAUUUUUUAGAACUUGUUAUUAUGUGCAAACUUGUUAAUUGUUAUGUGAAAGUAUUUCAUGUACUAUGUGUAUUUCGUGUGAAUGAGUUGAAAUGUGCACUAAGUGUUUUACUGUGAGAUGAAGUUAUUGAAAUUAAUUGAUGAUUGAAAUUAGUUGAGUGAAAACUUACUAUAUUGAGAUAUAAGGAAUAUGAUAAUCAUGAAGCAUGUAUAACUGCUAAAUAUGAACAUUUUUGUGCAUAAAUAAAUGCAAAACAUGAUAAAGUAUGAAGCAAGUAUAAAAUGCAAAGCAUGAAGGAGGUAAAAUAUGUUUGAAAUGUGAAUUCUUGUGUUAUAUGAUAAUUGUUAAACUUAUUGGGCAACGUAGUUGCUCAUCCUUGCUAUAUAUAAAAGUUUUUCAGCUAAGCCAGGCGGAUCAAAAGAUUAGAUAAAGUCAAAAGAUGAAAGAUUAAUGAUUGAAGAUGCAUUGUAUUAAUUGUAAUACUUAAUUUUAAAUGAUGUAAUAUUCAUUUACAUUAUAUAAUAAUGUAUAAGUAAAGGUCUUAGAACCUGGGAUUAGAUGAGAUGUACCAUAAUAAUAUAGAGGUUAUAUUUAUGAUGUUAAGAUAUAUAUGGAUGGGAUGAUAAGCACCGUAAAGCAUCGGAACCGAGCUUGAAAGCAGACCUAGGGUUUGAGGGCUUUACAUAACCAUCAUUGUUUUCUCUCCAUUUUUCUUAACAAAAGGAAUGUUUUUCAGGUCUCAUAUCGAUCCCAAAAAAUAACGUAGUUUUACCUUUUAAAGUUAAGUUUUUCAUUUUAGGGUUAUAUUAAAAAAAAUCAUUAACUCUAAGUUUAUAUAUAUGACGUGAAGAAUUUUUAUUUUUAUUUUUCAUUUUUUAUCAUAAUAUGUGCAGAUUGAAUAUAUAUUUUGUAUGUUUAUUUUGGACUUGCCUGUUGCCUAAUAGCUUGUGAAGCCGUAUCAUAAGAUUCACUUCGUCUGACGUGAAGUUUCCUCUAUUUAUAUUUGGCCUAAGAUAGUUCAACCACCUUAAUCUACAACUCUUCCGGCACCUAUUCAACCCUGCAAACAUGUAUUAAAAAGACAAGUGAUCUUAUAUGCAAGAACAAAAUACUAAACAAUAUUUUUCUUUAUUUGAACGUGUGUGUGUUUUGUGUUAACAAUAGAUAUACCUGCUUUUUGAGGAACUUGGUGCCACUUUUCUUCUCCAUGCUUUUCAAUACACUUUGUGAGAAGAAUAUCUUCUUCGACAGUCCAUGCCCCUUUCCUCAGCAUUAAAGCUACUGUACUAUUCUUCAUUCUCUCUCUAGGUCCUAUAUAUACACUAGUAUGUACUUAGUGUUUGUUAAAUUUUGCACCAACACCUAAAAGCUUUAAUAUAUAAACAUGCAAGUGAACUUGAACUUACUCCUAUAUAUAUAUAUAUAUAUAUAUAUAUAUAUAUUCCCAAUCUACCCUUGUUAUCGAGUAGUGUGAUAAGUUGAUAUUAGUAUGGGUAACAUAUUUAAUUGGGUAUUGGGUAAAGAGAGAAUUAGUUGUGACUAAUUGAUUAUUGAGAUAAGUAAAAUAUGAUAGUAAGUCGAGAGUAAUUUUGUCCAAGUAAAAAAUCAUGUAGUACUUUUGUCAUCUUCUUGAGAACAAGAUUUUUUAUCAUUUAAGUCAUCGUUUCGGGUACGAAGGUAGUGUAUAUAUAUAUAUAUAUAUAUAUAUAUAUAUAUAUAUAUAUAUAUAUAAAACGGAUCUAAAACAUACCUCUUAAAUAACAUAUCUUUCUUAAAUAGCAUACCUUUAUUAAAAUUACGUCGUUUUGAAGAUUAUUUUAAAAAAUAAAAUAAUAUUAAAAGAUAGUGGUCCCACUAGCUUUCCUUUUAUUUACAAAAAUGUUACUCACGACCCCAUUUAUUUUUUUAAAAAAAUCUCUAAAACGACGUAGUUUUAAUAAAUGUAUGUUAUUUAAGAGAGUGUGCUACUUUAGAGGUAUGUCUUAGAUCCGUCCUCUAUAUAUUUGUGUUUGUGUGUGUGUUAACGUCAAAAUAUGUCUGCUUGUCAAAUCACCAAACAACGAGCUUAAAACCUACACAAGGAGCAAAUAACCACACUGAGAAGCAUGACGGCUGGGGCCGCCACAGUAUAGUUCCGGUGUGAGAAUAAGUACAGGCCAUAAACCUCAACAGUGGAGGUAUGUAAUUGCUCUGGUGAAUAAGAGUAAUAAUUAUUUGUGGUGUACCUUAAAUAAAUUAUGAUCGUGUAUUUAUAGUUUUACCUUCUUAAUACGUCUAUCCCCGAAUAGGAAUAUGAGUCCUACGUAAAUUUCCCUUCUAACUACAAAUUUUAUAAUUGAAUUAGAUUUGAGUUUCUUAAAAGUAGGAAGUCAAAUAGGAUAAGGAAGUCAUAAGUCAAUUAGGACUAUAGUUUCUUUAGAAUGUUAAGCCUCCUGACGGGAAUAGUCUGCCAUGUUGCACGGGUCCCCCCAAAUACUUCCGUCCCCGAAUAGGAAUAAAAGUCAUACGUAAAGAAGUUCCUUUAUAAUACAAAAACUCUAUGUGAAUAUGAAAAUUGGAUACGAGUGUAUUUGAAUGUCACUUAUUUGUAUUUUUACCCACUAUUUAGUGGGUAAAAAUACAAAUAAGUGACAUUCAAAUACAUUCAUGUCCAAUUUUUAUGUCUGCCUAGAAGAGCUCUUUAUAAUAACCAAUUUUAUAACAAAAACUCUAUGUGGACAUGGAAAUUGGACAUGGGUGUAUUUGAAUUUCAUUUAUUUGUAUUUUGACCCUCAAUGGUGGGUAAAAAUACAAAUAAGUAAAAUUUAAAUAUACUAAUGUCUAAUUUUUAUGUUCAAUUUCUAUGUCCAUCUAGAAGAGCUUAUUUUAUAAUUAAAUUUAAUUUAAUUUUCUUAAAAAUAGGAAGUCAAAUGAGAUAAGAGAGUCAUAAUUCAAUUAAAAUUGUAGAUUCCUGAACUAUAGUAAUUUUUUGUCGAGAAAGUCGUCUCAUUCAACAUCUCUUAAUUAGUUGACUAUAUAUACAGACAAAUCUUUCCAUAUACUUAUAUGUAUAUAAAGUAAAUGUAGCAAGGUGUCUAGUCCCAAGGUGUUCAACGUGCAUGUUUUUCUACCACAAAAUAAGAAAUUCAAUUGAAGAAUACGUAGUAUACUUCCAAAAUAAUUUAUUAUUACGACUUACUCCGUCGACGAGUCCAACCAUUGUAACCCAUUUAAAUUGGGUUCUGAAGGUUUCUCUUUUUCAAUCAUUAAGUUAUACCGUGUGAAAUAGUUAUUUUGCUAAAAAUAGAAACGAAAAAUUGCAAAUAUAUAAUUCUCAUUCAAUGAAUAAAAUUAAUUAGGUUACAACAAUACAAGUAUAUAUAGGUUUCAACUAACCAACCUGUCGCUAUCAUGAUCAAUUUAAACCUACAAUUUAGCCACGCCAAGUGCUAGUUGAGCUUUCUGCCGGUGCAUACGAAUUUAGCUUUGUACUUUAUGAUCAACUAAUUAACGGUUGGAAAAUUUUGCACUCAACCAGUAUUUUAUGAGACUUAUUACGUGGGCAGAUAGCCAGCGAGUACUGGUUGUGAAGAGUAUUUUUCCUCUCCAAAAAAUAAUUGUCUCACCAAUGUAGCAAUGAUUGAACCAUCUCAUUUAUGAGUCAUGGGCUAGGGUGGGCUUUAGCCCGGAUAGAGUUUUUGAAAAAUAUUUAGUACUUAUAUAUCUUCAAUAGCCCAGCCCAAUAUUAUUUUCUUGUUUUUCUGUGAUCUAUUAACAAUAGUGAGGAGAGGGGUUCAAAGGAAGAAUUGUUUGAAUCUGGAUAUAUAAUAUAUAAGAGGGAACGAAAUGAAAUUUUGAAAUAUCAUAAUCCAAAAAGCUGAGAUUAAAGAUAUAUUCAAUAUUCUUUUGAGUCUGAAGUUUGCUUCUACCUCUCUUCUCUUUCUGGCUCUCAUCCAUCCUCUCUCCCUUUUUGAUUUUCCCAAAUUACAAGAUUAGGAUUUGGUUUUUACCCCCAAAAUUUUAUUUUUUCAGUUUUAUGUGGUUGCUUGAUCUCUAGCUCCUUUCGUGGCUGUCCCGAUUUGUUCAAAUUCUAACUGUUUGUGUGGUUAGCCCAGGACGAAAAAAAUUCCCGCGCUCCGCCCUUGAGUUGGAUUUAAAUUAAUCAUAUGCAACACUACACGUUUAAUCUGAAGGACCUAUAUACAUUCAUUUAAUAUAUAUAUAUAUAUAUUAUAAUAUCUAUUUUCUAUGGAUUAAAAAUGAGCAUAAACUAUCUUUAUCGUUCAAUAUAGGAACCAACGGUCGAUAUUAGAAUUGAAAAAUUUACGUCUGGACGACGAGUUACGUCCGCUACUAAUAGUAGCGGACAACAAUAUUAUUUUCAGCGGCAUCCGCUACUAUUAGUAACGGACGACACCCGUCAUCUGUUACUAUUAGUAGCAUAUGUAACCCGUAACCCGUCACCCGCUAUUAAUAAUAGCGAACGUAAAUUUUUCAAUUCUAAUCUCGACUAUUGAUUUUUGUAUUGUACGCUAAUAAUAAUGUUUGUCAUCUUGAUAUGAUUUAGAUUGGAAGUUUCCAUCUGAUACAGUAGGAAUCCUGUUAGGAUGGUCAAAUGGUUUUAAAAAAAAUUGGCUUGUUAUCUCAAUUAGGGCAAAUUUCGUAUUCGUGCACAUUCGUAUUAAAAAAAAACAGAUAUUAUUAGUAUUUGAAAAAAAAUAGAUAUAUUCGUAUUCAGUUUAAAGGUAUCCGCAAAUAAACGGAUACGAAUGUGGAUAUAGGCGUAUUCGUAUUCGUUUAACAUCCGACCGUAAAUAUAUUCGAUAAAUAGCGGAUAUCCAGAUUCAGAUCUGUAUUCGGAAUUCGUAUUCAAAUCACUUAUAUAUAUAUAUAUAUAUAUAUAUAUAUAUAUAUAUAUAUAUUAUAUAAUAAGCAAAACAAUUUUUUUAAAGUUGUCUUCCUUAUAUAAUAAUUAGUUUUCAGUAUCAUAUGAAAAAUAUUUUAAAAAUAUAUCAUUUCAAUUCUAAAUAGUAGAAAAUAACAUUUUUAUUUAAUAUUAAUAAACUGAAAUAAAUUGAUUUAAGUAUAUCUAAAAUGUAUCAUUUAACCAGAAAAUUAUAUACUAGAAGAAUAAAAUUAGAUAAGCGGGAACAAUGAAUAAUAUAAUUUUAUUGUUAAAAUAUAUUAAUUCCGAAUUAAUAUAUCCCAAGAUAUUAGGAGUUUUAUAAAACAAACGGUCAAGGAUUAGAUAUUAAAAUUAGAUAGGAAACUUGUAAGUUCAUAAUAAUCAUAUAUCGUAGGAAUAUAUUUGAAUAAGAAUUAAGAAAUCAGCCCAUUAUCUCUAAUUUUAGGAACUUUGAUAAAAAUUGUUAACAAAAUCUGAUGGAGUCAUGGUGAUAGAGGUUUGUUAAAAAUUGUUUUCAAAAUGGAUAAGAAUUUUAAUAAGCCCAAAACAUUUUUAUUUAUAUCAAACUCAACUUUUAAACCAACUAGAUGAUUAUGAUAGAUUUUGUUUUAAGAUCAGUUUCUUUGUUUUAGACAAGAGGUAAAAAAAAAAAUGGGUCCUUAACACUAAUAUUAUACAACAAUUAGAAAGUAUCUACAAAAAUAAUACAUACAUAAAAUAAUUACAAAAUUAAUGCAAUUCAUAUUAAUAAGGAAACCUAAAAUUAAGGAGAAAUAAUUGCCAUAACUAAUCAUUCAAAUUCAAAUAUCUGGAAUCUAACUACAAAAACAAAUUCAAAUUCAAAUAUUCAAAUUCAAAUUUCAUAAGAAAGACUGCACAAAUUUUGUACUUUGCAGGAGGUGGCUGAGGCAAUUUUCAAAGGAGAUGGAAGCUUCGGAGGAGGUGACAGCUUCGGAGGAGGUGGCAGUGGUGGCUUCGGAGGCGACGGUGAAGGCUA